rnacentral:rRNA from 2 species
UGCAAGUCGAGCGGACAGAUGGGAGCUUGCUCCCUGAUGUUAGCGGCGGACGGGUGAGUAACACGUGGGUAACCUGCCUGUAAGACUGGGAUAACUCCGGGAAACCGGGGCUAAUACCGGAUGGUUGUUUGAACCGCAUGGUUCAGACAUAAAAGGUGGCUUCGGCUACCACUUACAGAUGGACCCGCGGCGCAUUAGCUAGUUGGUGAGGUAACGGCUCACCAAGGCGACGAUGCGUAGCCGACCUGAGAGGGUGAUCGGCCACACUGGGACUGAGACACGGCCCAGACUCCUACGGGAGGCAGCAGUAGGGAAUCUUCCGCAAUGGACGAAAGUCUGACGGAGCAACGCCGCGUGAGUGAUGAAGGUUUUCGGAUCGUAAAGCUCUGUUGUUAGGGAAGAACAAGUGCCGUUCAAAUAGGGCGGCACCUUGACGGUACCUAACCAGAAAGCCACGGCUAACUACGUGCCAGCAGCCGCGGUAAUACGUAGGUGGCAAGCGUUGUCCGGAAUUAUUGGGCGUAAAGGGCUCGCAGGCGGUUUCUUAAGUCUGAUGUGAAAGCCCCCGGCUCAACCGGGGAGGGUCAUUGGAAACUGGGGAACUUGAGUGCAGAAGAGGAGAGUGGAAUUCCACGUGUAGCGGUGAAAUGCGUAGAGAUGUGGAGGAACACCAGUGGCGAAGGCGACUCUCUGGUCUGUAACUGACGCUGAGGAGCGAAAGCGUGGGGAGCGAACAGGAUUAGAUACCCUGGUAGUCCACGCCGUAAACGAUGAGUGCUAGAGUACGGUCGCAAGACUGAAACUCAAAGGAAUUGACGGGGGCCCGCACAAGCGGUGGAGCAUGUGGGUUUAAUUCGAAGCAACGCGAAGAACCUUACCAGGUCUUGACAUCCUCUGACAAUCCUAGAGAUAGGACGUCCCCUUCGGGGGCAGAGUGACAGGUGGUGCAUGGUUGUCGUCAGCUCGUGUCGUGAGAUGUUGGGUUAAGUCCCGCAACGAGCGCAACCCUUGAUCUUAGUUGCCAGCAUUCAGUUGGGCACUCUAAGGUGACUGCCGGUGACAAACCGGAGGAAGGUGGGGAUGACGUCAAAUCAUCAUGCCCCUUAUGACCUGGGCUACACACGUGCUACAAUGGACAGAACAAAGGGCAGCGAAACCGCGAGGUUAAGCCAAUCCCACAAAUCUGUUCUCAGUUCGGAUCGCAGUCUGCAACUCGACUGCGUGAAGCUGGAAUCGCUAGUAAUCGCGGAUCAGCAUGCCGCGGUGAAUACGUUCCCGGGCCUUGUACA